rnacentral:rRNA from 1 species
UACGAAGGGGGCUAGCGUUGUUCGGAUUUACUGGGCGUAAAGCGCACGUAGGCGGAUUUGUAAGUCAGGGGUGAAAUCCCGGGGCUCAACCUCGGAACUGCCUUUGAUACUGCAAAUCUCGAGUCCGGAAGAGGUGAGUGGAAUUCCUAGUGUAGAGGUGAAAUUCGUAGAUAUUGGGAAGAACACCGGUGGCGAAGGCGGCUCACUGGCCCGAUACUGACGCUGAGGCACGAAAGCGUGGGGAGCAAACAGG